AUAUAUGCAUACAUCUCUUAUAAC
rnacentral:siRNA from 1 species